rnacentral:rRNA from 1 species
AGAGUUUGAUCCUGGCUCAGGAUGAACGCUGGCGGCGUGCCUAACACAUGCAAGUCGAACGAAGCACCUUACGGGAUUCUUCGGAUGAAAGUUUGGUGACUGAGUGGCGGACGGGUGAGUAACGCGUGGGUAACCUGCCCUGUACAGGGGGAUAACAGCUGGAAACGGCUGCUAAUACCGCAUAAGCGCACGAGGAGACAUCUCCUUGUGUGAAAAACUCCGGUGGUACAGGAUGGGCCCGCGUCUGAUUAGCUGGUUGGCAGGGUAACGGCCUACCAAGGCAACGAUCAGUAGCCGGUCUGAGAGGAUGAACGGCCACAUUGGAACUGAGACACGGUCCAAACUCCUACGGGAGGCAGCAGUGGGGAAUAUUGCACAAUGGGGGAAACCCUGAUGCAGCGACGCCGCGUGAGUGAAGAAGUAUUUCGGUAUGUAAAGCUCUAUCAGCAGGGAAGAUAAUGACGGUACCUGACUAAGAAGCUCCGGCUAAAUACGUGCCAGCAGCCGCGGUAAUACGUAUGGAGCAAGCGUUAUCCGGAUUUACUGGGUGUAAAGGGUGCGUAGGUGGCAGUGCAAGUCAGAUGUGAAAGGCCGGGGCUCAACCCCGGAGCUGCAUUUGAAACUGCUCGGCUAGAGUACAGGAGAGGCAGGCGGAAUUCCUAGUGUAGCGGUGAAAUGCGUAGAUAUUAGGAGGAACACCAGUGGCGAAGGCGGCCUGCUGGACUGUUACUGACACUGAGGCACGAAAGCGUGGGGAGCAAACAGGAUUAGAUACCCUGGUAGUCCACGCCGUAAACG